rnacentral:rRNA from 1 species
UGGGGAAUCUUGCGCAAUGGGCGAAAGCCUGACGCAGCCACGCCGCGUGAGUGAAGAAGGCCUUCGGGUUGUAAAGCUCUGUCGUGCGGGACGAAAACUCUUGGGGUUAACAGCCCCAGGAAUUGACGGUACCGCAAAAGGAAGCACCGGCUAACUUCGUGCCAGCAGCCGCGGUAAUACGAGGGGUGCGAGCGUUGCUCGGAAUUAUUGGGCGUAAAGGGUAGGUAGGUGGUUUCAUUUGUCUGGGGUGAAAGCCUUGGGCUUAACUCAAGAAGUGCCCCGGAAACGGUGAAACUCGAGUACUGGAGAGGGUCGUGGAAUUCCCGGUGUAGCGGUGAAAUGCGUAGAGAUCGGGAGGAACACCAGAGGCGAAGGCGGCGACCUGGACAGUUACUGACACUCAACUACGAAAGCGUGGGGAGCAAACAG